rnacentral:rRNA from 1 species
UACGAAGGGGGCGAGCGUUGUUCGGAAUUACUGGGCGUAAAGGGCGCGCAGGCGGUCCUUCAAGUCGGGUGUGAAAGCCCCGGGCUCAACCUGGGAAUUGCAUUCGAGACUGAAUAGCUAGGGUACGGUAGAGGGAAGUGGAAUUUCCGGUGUAGCGGUGAAAUGCGUAGAUAUCGGGAGGAACACCAGUGGCGAAGGCGACUACCUGGCCUGUUCUUGACGCUGAGGCGCGAAAGCUAGGGGAGCAAACGGG